AACGAACGCUGGCGGCGUGCCUAACACAUGCAAGUCGUGCGAGAAAGUUCCUUCGGGAGCGAGUAAAGCGGCGCACGGGUGAGUAACACGUAGGUAACCUGCCCCCCAGUCUGGAACAACUAGAGGAAACUCUAGCUAAUGCCGGAUGAGACCACGAUCCCUUCGGGGGUUGCGGCCAAAGAUGGCCUCUACUUGUAAGCUAUCGCUGAGGGAUGGGCCUGCGGGCCAUUAGCUUGUUGGUGAGGUAACGGCUCACCAAGGCUGUGAUGGCUAGCUGGUCUGAGAGGAUGACCAGCCACACUGGGACUGAGACACGGCCCAGACUCCUACGGGAGGCAGCAGUGGGGAAUAUUGCGCAAUGGGCGAAAGCCUGACGCAGCGACGCCGCGUGGGUGACGAAGGCUUUCGGGUCGUAAAACCCUGUCGGAAGGGACGAAUUGCCACUUGAAUAAUAAGCGAGUGGAGUGACGGUACCUUUAAAGGAAGCACCGGCUAACUACGUGCCAGCAGCCG
rnacentral:rRNA from 1 species